GACAACACUGAGAUCAGGUGUGGCAUCUGUUUCAGACCCGCUCCGGCUUUCGAGGCCCAACACGUCCGCUUUUGGUGAUUUCAGCACUCUGGACAGCGAUGAUCCGAGGAUUCCUCUCGCACUUGAGGCAGUCUGACAGCAAACCAUGAAUGGGACAGUUUGAAGUAUGUUCAAGAAGAUCAACAAUGUAUUCCGUCCCAACCAACAUGGGCACAGGGGCCGGGACGCUGGGGCCAAACAGGACUACCACAGCGCCUGCACGGUCAGACUGGUCCGCAGCACGUCCAUGUUGGUGGUGGGGGAGAAAAGAUACACAGCCGACGGCUCGACUUUAAAGAGGAGCAAAAGUACGGUGAGCAUAGAGUCGACGCUGUAUUACUAUCAGAGGCAAGAGGACCAGAUCUGGCUGUACUCUCAGAGUCAGAACUGCCUGGAGUACCUGGAGGCGCUGGUGGCUCUGAGGAGGCAGUACACCAAGAGUGUGAGCGACCUCAAGAGCCAAGAGGCCAAAUCCAAUGUUAGUACAAAGAAGAAGCAGGCACCUCCACCACCGCAGAAGGACCCGCCUGAACCAGCAGCCAAACCUUCAACCCCUCUGGUUCCCAACGAGGAGGACACUCUGGAGUUCUUUGAUGCGGUGAUCGCCAGCUGUGACAAGGAACCUCUGCGAAAACCCUACAAGGAUGAUGGACACGCUGAUGUGGAUUUUAUAGUGGCGUCAACCUCGACUGAGCACGACCUUCACUCCAACUGGGUCUUGAAGGUCCCCCGUGUUGCAGAUGGCUCCACACACUCAGUAGUUAAAGACAGUGCCAUUGAAAAAAGCUCAGAAGAAGAAGAAGAACCAGAGCGGCUCUACGAGCAGCAGACUGCGUCUUCAGAGGAACCCGAUCCACCUGCCCAAAGUGGUAGAGAGCGCCUUCCAGACGCUGCGCUUCAAGCCCAAACUAAAAAAGCAGUGAAGCUUGAUGGGUAUUGGAAACAUAAGCCCCACCCACAAUGCUGGAAAAUCUCUUUGCUCAGGAGUUGAUUGAGCAAACUAUUUUUAGAACACUAAAUAUUAAGACUUAAAUAAACAUGUAAAGUAAAAGAUUCAAACAAAUCAAAUUCUCAGUGAGCUUGGAUAUCCGCUUUGUGGCACAAAGACAAUUUUUUACUUCUGUUUUACACCUUUUUUUUUUUGCUGUGGCACCAAAAUGUAAAUAUUUGACCUUAAUUUAACAUUUCCACGCUUGAUUUCAGUCAGAACGUUUGGAUUUUACAAAAGAGGGCUUGACUAGUUUUGAACAUGCUGCACAAAGAAACAUUUUUUCAUGGAGUUUUUCGGAAGCUUCCAUUCAAAAGGCCUUUCGAGCUGAACAAUUUAAGGGCUGUGGCAACUCUGAAAUUCUCCCUGAUUACAGUUAAAAGUUUCCAACCUGAGCGUCUCCUCUCCUUCAAAGUGUCAAUGCCAACUGUAAAACACAAGAAUGGCUCCUUUCAAGCGCUCAGCCCUCCGCACAAAAGGGUUUUAUUCCACAGACGUUCUGCAAAGCAAAAUUCAUGGCUUAACUGAUCUGAACGCUUCAGACUCACAAGCCUCCGUUUGCACCUAUUCUUGUUGAAUUUAAUCAGAGCUGAACUUAAAAGAUUUGCUGCAUUAACCUGCAGACCUCUUCGGCAUCCAGCAAUCAUGUUUAUUUGUGUUUAAACUCUUGUUUUUGAUGUUUAAGAUGCAUUAUAAAAAAGAAAUGACUUUGA
ensembl:lncRNA